ACUGGCAGUGGGUAAAAAAAAGGUGUGAUGCCGAAGCGACUACACUGGUAUGACGAACAGUCAUCUGGUUUCAAGUCUUCCCUCAUAGAGCAGCGACGCCAACUCCAUUAAACUAUCAGGAACCCUACGUGAAGAGAGACCUUGAUUCCAGGUGCAAUACAGUACAGUACGAUAACUCUGCAUGUUUAUCACUGCUCGUUCUCCCUGAGUACGGAGCGUGUCACCCCGCCUUCGCGUUCAUAUGACUUCUCAGCCAGUGUCCUCACGUGCGCUCCUGACACGCGAUCCAAUGAUUAGCCAUCAACUAUCAGCAACCAUCAAGCAUCACAGUACUCCAGUGCCUUUCCACAGCUCAACACACCACAGUACUGUAUGUACUGUAUGUACAUGCUGUACAGCACUAUUCAUUAAAUUGUGACGGAGCUCCGAUACUCUCGAUACUGACACAAACGUCGACACCAGAAGAGAGGUCAGUACUAAAUCAACAGGAAAGCAGGGCAGUUCCCCGUGAUCGACGACAAAAUGACAACGAGAUGACUGUCCCUCGCUGUCCACCAUCAACAACCAGUCCCCGCAGAACCGCAGACAAACAACAAUGAGAAGAUGACGAAUUCAAGAGUAUGGUUAUGUGAGUAUGUCGAUUGCGAAGCAUCUAAAUGAAAACCCCAAAGGAAACCUAACAACUGGAUCAUGGAUGAGCACCUCUGGGUACCAAUUCUUGGUGUCUUAUGGAUAGAACCUGAGAUGUGGCAGUUUCUGUGAGCCGAACGUGCCGGUGCACCUGUCUUAUGAAAAACCACAAAGUAAUCUUCGUUGGUUUCCUGUACAACGCACCUGACAUUCAGAAAUCUCAUAAUUCUUCGUCCCCUUUGAAGACACCUGUGGAAGCUUGGAGCUACAGUGUUGAGAUGAGAGAUACCCUUAGGAUACUCAGUUCCAUGACUUUAUGAAGUCCAAGAUACACCAGCCAAGACUUCUGGUCCAUUACGCCCAUGGAUAACACCCCAUAGCGCAAAACGUGCACUCGGGGACCUUAUGCUUCUUUUUUGAGAGCCUCUACAGUACAGUACAUACCUUGAUUAUGACAAACGCCAAUAGAAGUUUUUGUGGGCAGGUAACGCCUACUCCUGUUUCCACAAACGUUGUUCUAGGAAAUAAGGGUUCUUGGUAUCUUUCAAAUUUGGACAGAGAGUUCUACGAGCAGAUUAGCGCCUCACAGCUGGCGCCAAAAUCGUCGCUGUUACCACCAUGGAGUAUUCAAGUCUCUUCACCGUUUCAGAUCCUGGUACUACCGAUAGCUACAGUACAUACUGUACGUUAUUGAAGACUUCACCAAUGAGAUGUCUGCUAUGCGAUCCCAAGGAUUUAAACAAGUGCCAAUAGUGACAGUUCAUGAAAUUCAUCAGAUUGUAUGUAUUAGGUGUCUUACCGUUACAGACACAGUCUCUUAUCCUUGGUGCUUCGUCCAAAACUUCGUACUGAUUCACAUCCACGUGAUGCAAGAGAAGUUCUUCUACCAGAUAUUACGCAAUAGGCAUCCCAGAUUCAUUGAUUUUUUGCGGCCACAUGACCUGUUUGGCCAGUUAAAUGGAAUCUUACACUUUUUAUGUCA
rnacentral:misc_RNA from 1 species